CUUUCUUUGCUGGCGACCGGCGCACGGGUGAGUAACACGUAUCCAACCUGCCCUUUACUCGGGGAUAGCCUUUCGAAAGAAAGAUUAAUACCCGAUAGCAUAAUGAUUCCGCAUGGUUUCAUUAUUAAAGGAUUCCGGUAAAGGAUGGGGAUGCGUUCCAUUAGGUUGUUGGUGGGGUAACGGCCCACCAAGCCUUCGAUGGAUAGGGGUUCUGAGAGGAAGGUCCCCCACAUUGAACUGAGACACGGUCCAA
rnacentral:rRNA from 1 species